rnacentral:rRNA from 1 species
CCUACGGGGGGCUGCAGUGAGGAAUAUUGGUCAAUGGGCGCAAGCCUGAACCAGCCAUCCCGCGUGCAGGAAGACGGCCCUAUGGGUUGUAAACUGCUUUUCCAGGGGGCGAAUAGCUCUUACGUGUAAGGGUAUGACUGUACCUUGGGAAUAAGCAUCGGCUAACUCCGUGCCAGCAGCCGCGGUAAUACGGAGGAUGCGAGCGUUAUCCGGAUUCAUUGGGUUUAAAGGGUGCGUAGGCGGAUUAAUAAGUCAGCGGUGAAAUCCUACAGCUUAACUGUAGAACUGCCGUUGAUACUGUUAGUCUUGAGUUUGGUUAAGGUAGGCGGAAUGUGUAAUGUAGCGGUGAAAUGCUUAGAGAUUACACAGAACACCAAUUGCGUAGGCAGCUUACUGGACCGACACUGACGCUGAGGCACGAAAGCGUGGGGAUCGAACAGGCUUAGAUACCCCAGUAGUC